AUCAAUUAAUAGUUUGCUCUGCCGGGCCGAUUUUCCAUGUGCUUCUGCUGGUUACACCGUGGUGGAUGCCUGCCGUGCUGCUUGGAGUAUUUUACACAAACGUAAAAUGCUGGUCCAGGUUCGAUACUGCCAACAGCAGAAGUAUGUGAAGUUGGAAGAGGUUGAUGGGCGUUUUGAGUUUAUGCAGUUUCAUGAAAAAGAAUUUUCUGAUUACUCCUUGUCUUCUGCAUCUGAUUGUUCUGACUCAAGCUUCAGCUCAAAUGCAAGUACAUCAACUAUACUUCUAGAUGAGGGUCCC